CCUACGGGGGGCAGCAGUGAGGAAUAUUGGUCAAUGGUCGGGAGACUGAACCAGCCAAGCCGCGUGAGGGAUGAAGGUACAGCGUAUCGUAAACCUCUUUUGUCAGGGAACAAAGGCGGGGACGUGUCCCCGGCUGAGUGUACCUGAAGAAAAAGCAUCGGCUAACUCCGUGCCAGCAGCCGCGGUAAUACGGAGGAUGCGAGCGUUAUCCGGAUUUAUUGGGUUUAAAGGGUGCGCAGGCGGUCUGUUAAGUCAGCGGUCAAAGCCCGGGGCUCAACCCCGGCCCGCCGUUGAAACUGGCAGUCUCGAGUUGGAGAGAAGUAGGCGGAAUGCGCGGUGUAGCGGUGAAAUGCAUAGAUAUCGCGCAGAACUCCGAUUGCGAAGGCAGCAUGCCGGCUCCACACUGACGCUGAGGCACGAAAGCGUGGGUAUCGAACAGGAUUGGAUACCCUGGUAGUC
rnacentral:rRNA from 1 species